rnacentral:rRNA from 1 species
ACGAACGCUGGCGGCGUGCUUAACACAUGCAAGUCGAACGGAAAGGCCCUGCUUUUGUGGGGUGCUCGAGUGGCGAACGGGUGAGUAACACGUGAGUAACCUGCCCUUGACUUUGGGAUAACUUCAGGAAACUGGGGCUAAUACCGGAUAGGAGCUCCUGCUGCAUGGUGGGGGUUGGAAAGUUUCGGCGGUUGGGGAUGGACUCGCGGCUUAUCAGCUUGUUGGUGGGGUAGUGGCUUACCAAGGCUUUGACGUGUAGCCGGCCUGAGAGGGUGACCGGCCACAUUGGGACUGAGAUACGGCCCAGACUCCUACGGGAGGCAGCAGUGGGGAAUAUUGCACAAUGGGCGGAAGCCUGAUGCAGCAACGCCGCGUGCGGGAUGACGGCCUUCGGGUUGUAAACCGCUUUCGCCUGUGACGAAGCGUGAGUGACGGUAAUGGGUAAAGAAGCACCGGCUAACUACGUG